GGUUAAGCGACUAAGCGUACACGGUGGAUGCCCUGGCAGUCAGAGGCGAUGAAGGACGUGCUAAUCUGCGAUAAGCGUCGGUAAGGUGAUAUGAACCGUUAUAACCGGCGAUUUCCGAAUGGGGAAACCCAGUGUGAUUCGUCACACUAUCAUUAACUGAAUCCAUAGGUUAAUGAGGCGAACCGGGGGAACUGAAACAUCUAAGUACCCCGAGGAAAAGAAAUCAACCGAGAUUCCCCCAGUAGCGGCGAGCGAACGGGGAGCAGCCCAGAGCCUGAAUCAGUGUGUGUGUUAGUGGAAGCGUCUGGAAAGGCGCGCGAUACAGGGUGACAGCCCCGUACACAAAAAUGCACAUACUGUGAGCUCGAUGAGUAGGGCGGGACACGUGGUAUCCUGUCUGAAUAUGGGGGGACCAUCCUCCAAGGCUAAAUACUCCUGACUGACCGAUAGUGAACCAGUACCGUGAGGGAAAGGCGAAAAGAACCCCGGCGAGGGGAGUGAAAAAGAACCUGAAACCGUGUACGUACAAGCAGUGGGAGCACAGAGCAAUCUGUGUGACUGCGUACCUUUUGUAUAAUGGGUCAGCGACUUAUAUUCUGUAGCAAGGUUAACCGAAUAGGGGAGCCGAAGGGAAACCGAGUCUUAACUGGGCGUUAAGUUGCAGGGUAUAGACCCGAAACCCGGUGAUCUAGCCAUGGGCAGGUUGAAGGUUGGGUAACACUAACUGGAGGACCGAACCGACUAAUGUUGAAAAAUUAGCGGAUGACUUGUGGCUGGGGGUGAAAGGCCAAUCAAACCGGGAGAUAGCUGGUUCUCCCCGAAAGCUAUUUAGGUAGCGCCUCGUGAAUUCAUCUCCGGGGGUAGAGCACUGUUUCGGCAAGGGGGUCAUCCCGACUUACCAACCCGAUGCAAACUGCGAAUACCGGAGAAUGUUAUCACGGGAGACACACGGCGGGUGCUAACGUCCGUCGUGAAGAGGGAAACAACCCAGACCGCCAGCUAAGGUCCCAAAGUCAUGGUUAAGUGGGAAACGAUGUGGGAAGGCCCAGACAGCCAGGAUGUUGGCUUAGAAGCAGCCAUCAUUUAAAGAAAGCGUAAUAGCUCACUGGUCGAGUCGGCCUGCGCGGAAGAUGUAACGGGGCUAAACCAUGCACCGAAGCUGCGGCAGCGACGCUUAUGCGUUGUUGGGUAGGGGAGCGUUCUGUAAGCCUGUGAAGGUGUACUGUGAGGUAUGCUGGAGGUAUCAGAAGUGCGAAUGCUGACAUAAGUAACGAUAAAGCGGGUGAAAAGCCCGCUCGCCGGAAGACCAAGGGUUCCUGUCCAACGUUAAUCGGGGCAGGGUGAGUCGACCCCUAAGGCGAGGCCGAAAGGCGUAGUCGAUGGGAAACAGGUUAAUAUUCCUGUACUUGGUGUUACUGCGAAGGGGGGACGGAGAAGGCUAUGUUGGCCGGGCGACGGUUGUCCCGGUUUAAGCGUGUAGGCUGGUUUUCCAGGCAAAUCCGGAAAAUCAAGGCUGAGGCGUGAUGACGAGGCACUACGGUGCUGAAGCAACAAAUGCCCUGCUUCCAGGAAAAGCCUCUAAGCAUCAGGUAACAUCAAAUCGUACCCCAAACCGACACAGGUGGUCAGGUAGAGAAUACCAAGGCGCUUGAGAGAACUCGGGUGAAGGAACUAGGCAAAAUGGUGCCGUAACUUCGGGAGAAGGCACGCUGAUAUGUAGGUGAAGUCCCUCGCGGAUGGAGCUGAAAUCAGUCGAAGAUACCAGCUGGCUGCAACUGUUUAUUAAAAACACAGCACUGUGCAAACACGAAAGUGGACGUAUACGGUGUGACGCCUGCCCGGUGCCGGAAGGUUAAUUGAUGGGGUUAGCGCAAGCGAAGCUCUUGAUCGAAGCCCCGGUAAACGGCGGCCGUAACUAUAACGGUCCUAAGGUAGCGAAAUUCCUUGUCGGGUAAGUUCCGACCUGCACGAAUGGCGUAAUGAUGGCCAGGCUGUCUCCACCCGAGACUCAGUGAAAUUGAACUCGCUGUGAAGAUGCAGUGUACCCGCGGCAAGACGGAAAGACCCCGUGAACCUUUACUAUAGCUUGACACUGAACAUUGAGCCUUGAUGUGUAGGAUAGGUGGGAGGCUUUGAAGUGUGGACGCCAGUCUGCAUGGAGCCGACCUUGAAAUACCACCCUUUAAUGUUUGAUGUUCUAACGUUGACCCGUAAUCCGGGUUGCGGACAGUGUCUGGUGGGUAGUUUGACUGGGGCGGUCUCCUCCUAAAGAGUAACGGAGGAGCACGAAGGUUGGCUAAUCCUGGUCGGACAUCAGGAGGUUAGUGCAAUGGCAUAAGCCAGCUUGACUGCGAGCGUGACGGCGCGAGCAGGUGCGAAAGCAGGUCAUAGUGAUCCGGUGGUUCUGAAUGGAAGGGCCAUCGCUCAACGGAUAAAAGGUACUCCGGGGAUAACAGGCUGAUACCGCCCAAGAGUUCAUAUCGACGGCGGUGUUUGGCACCUCGAUGUCGGCUCAUCACAUCCUGGGGCUGAAGUAGGUCCCAAGGGUAUGGCUGUUCGCCAUUUAAAGUGGUACGCGAGCUGGGUUUAGAACGUCGUGAGACAGUUCGGUCCCUAUCUGCCGUGGGCGCUGGAGAAUUGAGGGGGGCUGCUCCUAGUACGAGAGGACCGGAGUGGACGCAUCACUGGUGUUCGGGUUGUCAUGCCAAUGGCACUGCCCGGUAGCUAAAUGCGGAAGAGAUAAGUGCUGAAAGCAUCUAAGCACGAAACUUGCCCCGAGAUGAGUUCUCCCUGACUCCUUGAGAGUCCUGAAGGAACGUUGAAGACGACGACGUUGAUAGGCCGGGUGUGUAAGCGCAGCGAUGCGUUGAGCUAACCGGUACUAAUGAACCGUGAGGCUUAACCUU
rnacentral:rRNA from 1 species